GUGAGAUGGUGCUGACUGCUGAAAUAAACUACUCAAGAGCUAUAAGAAAAAUGAGAACUCAAGGCUAUGUCAUAACAAGUAUUCAAAAUGAUUUUUAUAUUCAGGAGAUUUAAGGUGUUAAAACGAUACCGAUCUUGUGAACUUUUCCCAAGUCUCUACAAACCAACCUCAAAUUAUUCUAUAGCCUAAAACUUUCAACAAAAAUGCAAUUUUUUUAGAAAGAAAAC
rnacentral:lncRNA from 1 species